UGCUCGCUCGGCGGCGCGGGCUGGACCGGGGUGGGGAUUCCUGUCUGGGGCCCCUGGGGCUCCUUUAAGGGCUCCUGGGUAAAUUUAAAGGGGCCGCGCGCUAUUUCCUUCUGCCAGCUCGCGGGGGGCUGGGGGGAAGAGGCGGGAGGCGACGAGCCCGAUCGAGGCUCAGAAGCCGGCGCCCUCCCCGGACGUUAGGAGCACGGACCUCGCCGCCCUCGCCUGGGGAUGCCAGACGAGGCCCUCGACGCAGCCCUAGAACUCCCCUCCGGCCUGAGGAGGCGAAAAACGCUGACCCCGGAUGGGGUGUCGGGCACCUGGCGACGCGCGCUUCCACGGCUGGGAAGCGCUGGGGCGGACCCUGGCUGUGAGCUCCGGGAUGUCUCGGGCCCCCGGCUCCUGGGGAGCGGAGAGAAGGGACUCCGAGAGGCGGCUGGAGGAGUGGCAGCCUAGGGUUCUUCCGCGAGGACGGGCUGGAGGAGCAGGCCCAGGGACACAAAGAGAAAGGAAGACGCAGACCUGGUCUUCACAGGCUCCUAAGUAUGGUUCUUUCAGAGAUUACGAAGGUAACCCAUGUUCGGGGCUGCCCACCGUGAGCCACUUUGCUCCAGGACUGGCUCCAAGCUCCACAGUGCCGAAGCAUUCCCCACUCACCAUCUGAUCCUGGCAGUCACCCUAUGACAAUGAAGCUUCACUUUGCAGAAGAAGAAAAGGAGACUCAGAGUCAAGAGUCUCACCUAAGGCCAUUCGUUCAUUCGUUUUCUUACCCACUUUAGAUAGCGCUGACUGAGCCAGUCCUGAGUGCCUGGCCCUGCGCUGAGGAUAAAGGUUUGAAAAGACAUAACGCAGCCCUGACGGGGUUCAUCCCCCUCCCCCCUUCCUAGGAGCUCUACUGGGUCUGCUGUAGGAAAGGAGGAAACAGCGGCAACCCAAAGCCACAUCGUGACCUUCAUGGGCCCCGGGUACUUUUGCUUCCAUGGGCGUCUUCCUCUGCACAAAGAAAAAAGGAUUUAAUAAGACUUUGAGGGCCUUACAAAAAUUUUUUUUUUCUGAUGGGAAGAAAAAUAAUACAUUUUCUUUGACCCUUAAAGCUCACUUUGUUUUCUGAUUUCAAAAUAAAACGUUUUCAAGCACCCCUAAAAGUAUAGUGGGCUCUAGGCACUGUGCCCAGUGCCCAGUGGUUAGAUGACCUUGAUUGCAAUACGAAUGAUAAGCGCUAAGAGAGAGGCCAACCUGGGAGGACUUCCGAGGGAAGGUAUUGCUUCAGUGACCAACUCUUGAAAGAUAAGUGUUGCCAAGAGGACAGAGGAGCAAGGGCUUUUCAUGCGGAGGCCAGGGAAGCUCUGGGGAAAGGGAAGUUUCUGGGAGAGGCAGAAGAAGAAAGGGAAAUGAGCAGGGGCAAGAGCCUUGGGUGCCACGCUGGGCGUCCUGAAGGCAUGGGGAAUACCUGGCACCAGUGCGCAGGGUGUUCAGGAGGCAGCCCUGAGAACACAAGGGAGGAAGGGAGAGAAGAAAGACUGGAUGCUGCUUGAGCAAUCCACACCAUUG